rnacentral:tRNA from 1 species
UUUAUAGAAGCUCUUGAGCAUUAAAUUGUUAAUUUAAAAGGGGCUACUAUAGUAGCCUAUAAAGC